rnacentral:rRNA from 1 species
GGAUUAGAUACCCUGGUAGUCCACGCCGUAAACGAUGUCUACUAGUCGUAGGGUUCCUUGAGGACUUUGUGACGCAGCUAACGCAAUAAGUAGACCGCCUGGGGAGUACGGCCGCAAGGUUAAAACUCAAAUGAAUUGACGGGGGCCCGCACAAGCGGUGGAGCAUGUGGUUUAAUUCGAAGCAACGCGAAGAACCUUACCAGGGCUUGACAUCCAGAGAACUUUCUAGAGAUAGAUUGGUGCCUUCGGGAACUCUGUGACAGGUGCUGCAUGGCUGUCGUCAGCUCGUGUUG